rnacentral:rRNA from 1 species
GACGGGACCGCACAAGCGGUGGAUGAUGUGGAUUAAUUCGAUGCAACGCGAAAACUUACCUACCCUUGACAUGUCCGGAAUCCCGAAGAGAUUUGGGAGUGCUCGCAAGAGAACCGGAACACAGGUGCUGCAUGGCUGUCGUCAGCUCGUGUCGUGAGAUGUUGGGUUAAGUCCCGCAACGAGCGCAACCCUUGUCAUUAGUUGCCAUCAUUUGGUUGGGCACUCUAAUGAGACUGCCGGUGACAAACCGGAGGAAGGUGGGGAUGACGUCAAGUCCUCAUGGCCCUUAUGGGUAGGGCUUCACACGUCAUACAAUGGUCGGUACAGAGGGUUGCCAACCCGCGAGGGGGAGCUAAUCCCACAAAGCCGAUCGUAGUCCGGACCGCAGUCUGCAACUCGACUGCGUGAAGUCGGAAUCGCUAGUAAUCGUGGAUCAGCAUGUCACGGUGAAUACGUUCCCGGGUCUU